rnacentral:rRNA from 1 species
GGGGGAAAAUUAAUAAAUUUUAAAUUAAUAAAAAAAAUUUUAAUAUUAAAAAGAAAAAAUGGGGGUUGGAGUAUUUUUAAUAGAAAAAAUUAAUAGUUUUAUAGUUGAUUAUUACUGUAAGGGAAGUUUUAAAUAAUUGAAAAUUAAUUAAUUAAAAAGUAAAUUUUAUUUGUUGUAUCUUGUGUAUCAGAGUUUAUUAAAUAUAGCAGUUUAUUUAAAUAAGUCUCGAAUUUAAAAGAGUUAAUUAAUUAAAAAAGUUAAUGUUGAAUAAUUAUUUUAAAUAAUUAAUUAGAAAUGAAAUGUUAAUCGUUUUUAAAUAUAUCUAGUUUUUUUAGAAAUAAAUUUAAUUUUAAAUUUAAAUAAUUUUAUAAUUUUUUAAUUAAUUAUAAAAAUUUAAAAUUUAAUAUUUUAGGGGAUAAGCUUUAAAUUAAAAUUUUAUAAUUAUUUAAUUGUUAAAUUAAAAUUUUUAAAAUUUAUAUUGUUUAGAAAUUAUAAUUUAUUAUAAAAAAUUUUAAUUAAAAUAAAAUUUAAAUAAAAAUUUAAAUUUUUAUAAAAAAAUAAUUUUUAAUUUAAUAAAAUUAAAAAUAAUGAUAAAAUUAGUAUAAUAUUUAUUGAUAUAUAUAUAUAUAUAUAUAUAUAAUUAAAAUUAAAUUUAUUUAAAGGUAAGUUAAAGGAAUUCGGCAAAAUUUCAUAUUCACUUGUUUAUCAAAAACAUGUCUUUUUGAUAAUAAUUUAAAGUCUAAUCUGCCCACUGAUGUAAUAUUAAAGGGCUGCAGUAUAUUGACUGUACAAAGGUAGCAUAAUCAUUAGUCUUUUAAUUGAAGACUUGAAUGAAGGAUUUGAUGAAAUAUGGACUGUCUCUGUUUUAAAAUAUAAAAUUUAAUUUUUUAGUUAAAAAGCUAAAAUAUAAUUAAAAGACGAGAAGACCCUAUAGAGUUUUAUAUUUUAAUUAUUUAAUUUAAUGUAUAUAUUUAAAUAUAUUAAUUAAUUAAAAUAUUAUAUUGGGGUGAUAAAAAAAUUUAAUAAACUUUUUUUAAAAAUAAACAUAAAUAAAUGAUUAAAUGAUCCAUUUUUAGUGAUUAAAAGAGAAAAUUACCUUAGGGAUAACAGCGUAAUAUUUUUUUUUAGUUCAAAUAAGAAAUAAAGUUUGCGACCUCGAUGUUGGAUUAAGAUAAAAUUUAAAUGCAAAAGUUUAAAGUUUUGAUCUGUUCGAUCAUUAAAAUCUUACAUGAUCUGAGUUCAAACCGGUGUAAGCCAGGUUGGUUUCUAUCUUUAAUAAAAAAAAAUAUUUUAGUACGAAAGGAUCAAAUAUUUAAAAUAAUUUUAUUGUAAUUGAAUAUUAUUAAUUUAAUAUAU